AUUGAACGCUGGCGGCAUGCCUUACACAUGCAAGUCGAACGGCAGCACGGGAGCAAUCCUGGUGGCGAGUGGCGAACGGGUGAGUAAUAUAUCGGAACGUGCCCAGUCGUGGGGGAUAACGUAGCGAAAGCUACGCUAAUACCGCAUACGAUCUAUGGAUGAAAGCGGGGGAUCGCAAGACCCCGCGCGAUUGGAGCGGCCGAUAUCAGAUUAGCUAGUUGGUGAGGUAAAGGCUCACCAAGGCGACGAUCUGUAGCUGGUCUGAGAGGACGACCAGCCACACUGGAACUGAGACACGGUCCAGACUCCUACGGGAGGCAGCAGUGGGGAAUUUUGGACAAUGGGCGCAAGCCUGAUCCAGCAAUGCCGCGUGCAGGAUGAAGGCCUUCGGGUUGUAAACUGCUUUUGUACGGAACGAAAUGGUGAGCUCUAAUACAGUUUGCUAAUGACGGUACCGUAAGAAUAAGCACCGGCUAACUACGUGCCAGCAGCCGCAGUAA
rnacentral:rRNA from 1 species